CGACUAUCUCUUUCGUUUUAAGCAAGUUGACAAUGAUUUGGACCAGUUUUAGGAGCAUUUAAAGUAUCUUUUGAUGUUUUUGAAGAAACAACAUUGUUUGAUGCAUCCAUAUCACAUGCCCUAAUGCCGAGAAAAUAUGUAGGAGCAUGUAUUUCGAUCAAUACUCAACCACAUAUACCUUAAGAGGCUGUUUGGGGGGCAAUUUAACACUGUGGGGUUAGGUUUACUUAACCCUAACCCCUGUUUGGUACUAGGAUUAUGGAAACCCUAGUUUUAGGGUUUCCAUAACACCCGUAUUAUCCUCAAACCCCCCAUUCUCAUCUGCCCCCUAAACCCGAUUUCUCUUCUUCGUUUUUUCCCUUCAACCCGUGUUAACCCCUCCUUAAAUCCGUGUUGUAACUCCCUUCCAUCCAUCUUCUUCCUCCCAAUUUUUGUUCUUUCUUCUUCUCCCCCUACUCCUCCAUUGCCGGUUUCGUUUUUUAGCUCAAAAAUCCAUCCCCCUUCGAUCGAAAACCCCUUUGCUUCAUGACUCUGAAUCCAUCUCUACAUCUCUCUAAGCCUCUCUCAAUCUACAAAAGUUUUUGUUGAAGAGAAGAUGGACGACAUGCAUAGGCGCCAAGUCUAUUGAGCCAAGCAAGGAAGAAAACGAUGACUCCGAAGAUGAUGAUUCCUCCGAUGAGGGUUCCGAUUCCGAUGAGUCUAAUGAGCUGAGGCUAAUUGGGGUUCCAUCGUGAAGAGCUCUAUGAUUUUGAAUAUAUAUGCUUCUGAGUAGCCUGGCUGGGAUUCAAGAGGGAAAGGAUGCGAUUGUGGAAGAGGGUGGAAUUGUUGCGCUUGUAGAAUUGGACUGAGAUUGUUUUUUUUUAAGGAGGUAAUUGUAUUAUUAAGAAGUGGUAUCGUGUAUAGGGAGUGGUUUUUUUUUAUGGUUUGUACAGCGUGGUUGAGAAUGUUGAAAGAAUGAAGAUUGUAGAAUGAAGUUAGUGCAGUUAGUAAAGCCAAAAGGUCGACGGUUAGAGAAGAAGUUGUAUGAUUUUUAACUAGGUUCUGGGAUAUCCUUUUUAAUGACAUUCCAAUUUACUAAAUAGUGUAAUAUCACUUGGUUUGAUUUUCUGGGUUUGAUUUGAUGAAAUUCUGAUUGGUAGUUGUGUGUCUUGUAUGGGUGAAGAACCCAAAUUCUGUGGAACUCAUCGUCUUUCUUGUAGCUUUAUGUGAAGUACAUUGAAGUUCUGAAAUUUACGUAAUUUAAUUUUCA